UAACAUUGCUAAAGCGGUGCUAAUACCGGAUAUCCUUUCGCGGAGACAUCUGUUGCAAAAGGAAAGCCUUCGGGCGCCAAAAGAUAAGCUCGCGCCCCAUUAGCUUGUUGGCGGGGUAACGGCCCACCAAGGCGAUGAUGGGUAGCCGACCUGAGAGGAUAAGCCGCCCCCUUGGGACUGAGAUACGGCCCAGACUCCUACGGGAGGCAGCAGUACGGAAUUUUGCGCAAUGGGCGAAAGCCUGACGCAGCAACGCCGCGUGGAGGAUGACCGUCUUCGGAUUGAAAACUCCUGUCGUGAGGGAAGAAACGCCGAUUGGUCGGGCUGACGGUACCUCACAAGAAAGCCCCGGCUAACUUCGUGCCAGCAGCCGCGGUAAUACGAGGGGGGCUAGUGUUGUUCGGAUUUACUGGGUGUAAAGGGAGUGCAGGCGGAUCGGCAAGUCAGGGGUGAAAAGCUCACGCUCAACGUGAUGCACUGCCUUUGAUACUGCCGACCUUGAGUGUUGGAGAGGGUGAUGGAAUUCCAGGUGUAGCGGUGGAAUGCGUAGAUAUCUGGAAGACACCAGUUGCGAAGGCGAGCACCUGUCCAAACACUGACUCUGAGUCUCGUAAGCUGGGGGAGCAGACAGGAUUAGAUACCCUGUUAGUCCCAGCCCUAAACGAUGGACACUAGGUGUUGGUGGAGUUAACACCAUCAGCGCCGAAGUUAACGCAUUAAUUGUCCCACCUUGGAGUACGGUCGCAAGGCUGAAACUCUAAGGAAUUGACGGGGGCCCGCACAAGCGGUGGAGCAUGUGGUUCAAUUCGAAGCUACGCGAAGAACCUUACCUGGGCUUGACAUGGAGAGGUCCAUCCUCAGAGAUGAGGACUUCUGUAGCAAUACAGACCUCUCACACAGGUGCUGCAUGGCUGUCGUCAGCUCGUGUCGUGAGAUAUUGGGUUAAGUCCCGCAACGAGCGCAACCCUUGUCCUUAGUUGCCAUCAGGUUAAGCUGGGCACUCUAGGGAGACUGCCAGUAAUAAACUGGAGGAAGGUGGGGAUGACGUCUAGUCCUCAUGUCCCUU
rnacentral:rRNA from 1 species